CUCACAGCAAUUCACAGCGCCGAGAGUGCGGCCGCCCCCGCGCGCCCAGAAGGGGGAGCCCGGGUGUGAAGCCCGAGCCGGGAGCGAGGAUGCGGAGCCCGGAAAGCCUUGGGCCGCAGAGGCGGUCACAGAGAAACAAAGCCAAGCAGCAGAAAUCCUAAAUGUAUGUGCUCUUUCUCCCUCUCCCAUUUCCUUAACAAGGAACUUAAAGACUCCCUGGCAAGAUCUUUGCUGUGCUCACUCAGUCCUGCUCAGAACAGGGCCUGGAGGUAUAUAGCCCAACAUGAAGAGCACUUGCUCUUGCAGAAGACCGGGGUUGUUUCCAUCAGCCACAUACAACCAGUUCCUUUCUGAUCUGGGAAAGGCACUGCCAUGGUUUGCCUCUCAGCAGCAGAGCCAAGGAUAAGUGUGCAAGUGUGAAACUUGACAAUGAGAAAAAAACCUCCCCAACAACAUCGCCUGACCUCCAUGGAUAUCAGGCUCAUACCUCAUUCCCUCACACCAUACACAUAAGAUAAACAAAUCCAAGACUAUGUUUAAAAUAAAAUAAAAUAAAACCACUGUUUUGCA